GGGGGUAUUAGGGGUAGAGGUAUUACUGCUAAUAAUUAAAAGUCGUUUUACACGACCGCUCCUU
rnacentral:tRNA from 1 species